CUCUUAUUCAGAGCGGCGGAGGGACUUGCCCAAUGAAGCCCGGCAGACGAAUCAGCGUUUAGCAGAUUUAGGUGCUAAUUCGACCGAAGAAGAGCUUUGAAAAAUUAGAG
rnacentral:ncRNA from 1 species